UCUUAAAAUAUUCCAUUCUAGUCCUUUUCAAUAUUUUUUAGACUUAAUUACAAAAGUCCUUUUUGUACCUUAUAUGUUUGUUUCAACAAAAUUGAACUUUUGGUUGAAGUGAACUUUUGGUUGAAGCAGAGUUCAGUAAAAAUUAUUUUUCUCUGCUGUUUAUUCUGUAAUUAUGAAAAUAAAGUUUUAUUAGUUUUGCUAUUUGUUUAGUUAAAAAUAUGAGAUAUAAAAUUAUAAUUUUUAUAUAAAUAAUAAAUAAUGUAACAAAUAAAAUAGUAUAAUUAUAUUUUUAUAUAAUUAAAAUUUAAUUUAAAACAAUUAAAUCAAUUUUUUAUAUAUAAAUUAUAGUAAUAUAAUAAUAAAAUUAUAAAGUAAAAAAUUAUUAAUACUUAAUUAAUCAAAUUUUACCAUAUUUUAAUUAUACAAACUAAAUAAAAAAUAUUAAAACUUAACUAAUCAAUUUUUAUUAUAUUUUAAAUAUGCUAAAAAAAUAAAAGAGUAAUUAAGUAUUAAUAAUUUUUUACUUUAUAAUUUUAUUAUUAUAUUACUAUAAUUUAUGUAUAAAAAAAAUACCUAUAUUAUUUUUAUUUAUUAAAUUAUUUAUUAUCAUACACUUCCUAUCAAACAAACAGCAGAACUAAUGAAACUUCACCUCCACAACUACGAAACAAACAACAGGGAAAAAAUAAUUAAUACUNCCAUAUUUUAAUUAUACAAACUAAAUAAAAAAUAUUAAAACUUAACUAAUCAAUUUUUAUUAUAUUUUAAAUAUGCUAAAAAAAUAAAAGAGUAAUUAGUAUCAUAAUUAAAUAUAUUUAAAUAUAACUAUCUUUACCUAGUAUAUUAUUUUAUUAUUUUUUUCACAUUUUUUCAGCAUAAUUGAUUUCGGUCCAUGAUGAAGUCAAUUACAUCAUUUCAAAUUAAGUCGAGUUUUAACCGUAAUUCUUUUACGACGAACUAAACAACGAAAAUGAUCGUUUAUAGCGAAAACGACUUCCCUCCUUUUCAUUUCACCUCAUUUUCAUCCAAACAAAUAUACCCUUAUACUAUCUAUCAUUAAUCCAUCCAUUAAAAAUGACAUUAAUUAUCCUCUCAUAUUUUACCAUUAUUCUAAAUUUAUCAAAAAAAAAGGUAAAAAUAUUGUUGAAAGUUUGAAAAUUAAAUUAAAUUAAAUUUUUAUUAAAAAAUUAGGAUCUUAAAUAUUGAAAUUAAAUAUUUGAGGACGAAAAUAAAA
rnacentral:lncRNA from 1 species